rnacentral:rRNA from 1 species
UAGAUCUCAAAUCAGGUAGGACUACCCGCUGAACUUA